rnacentral:tRNA from 1 species
GUGGCUGUGGCUCAGUGGUAGAGUGCUUGCCUAGCAUGUGCAAGGCACUGGGUUUGAUUCUCAGCUCCACA